UACGUAGGUGGCAAGCGUUGUCCGGAAUUAUUGGGCGUAAAGCGCGCGCAGGCGGCCUCUUAAGUCUGAUGUGAAAGCCCCCCGGCUCAACCGGGGAGGGCCAUUGGAAACUGGGAGGCUUGAGUAUAGGAGAGAAGAGUGGAAUUCCACGUGUAGCGGUGAAAUGCGUAGAGAUGUGGAGGAACACCAGUGCGAAGGCGACUCUUUGGCCUAUAACUGACGCUGAGGCGCGAAAGCGUGGGGAGCAAACAGG
rnacentral:rRNA from 1 species